rnacentral:rRNA from 1 species
ACGGUCCUAAGGUAGCGAAAUUCCUUGUCGGGUAAGUUCCGACCCGCACGAAAGGUGUAACGAUUUGGGCACUGUCUCAACGAGGGACCCGGUGAAAUUGAAAUACCUGUGAAGAUGCAGGUUACCCGCGACUGGACAGAAAGACCCCAUGGAGCUUUACUGUAACCUGACAUUGGGUUUUGAUACAUCACGUACAGGAUAGGUGGGAGGCAUGGAAGCUGGGACGCUAGUCUCAGUGGAGCCGACGUUGGGAUACCACCCUUGAUGUAUCGGAAUUCUAACCGUAGUAGUAACGACACUCGGGACAGUGUCAGGCGGGCAGUUUGACUGGGGCGGUCGCCUCCCAAAGAGUAACGGAGGCGCCCAAAGGUUCCCUCAGCGCGGCCGGAAAUCGCGCGAAGAGUGUAAAGGCAGAAGGGAGCUUGACUGAGAGCCAAACACGGCGAUCAGGUACGAAAGUAGGGCUUAGUGAUCCGGUGGCAUCCAAGUGGAAGGGCCAUCGCUCAACGGAUAAAAGCUACCCUGGGGAUAACAGGCUAAUCUCUCCCAAGAGUCCAUAUCGACGGGGAGGUUUGGCACCUCGAUGUCGGCUCAUCACAUCCUGGGGCUGAAGUCGGUCCCAAGGGUUGGGCUGUUCGCCCAUUAAAGUGGUACGUGAGCUGGGUUCAGAACGUCGUGAGACAGUUCGGUCCCUAUCCAUCGCGGGCGUAAGAGAUUUGAAGGGGGCUGCUCCUAGUACGAGAGGACCGGAGUGGACGGACCAAUGGUGUACCAAUUAUCCCGCCAGGGGUACAGUUGGGUAGCUACGUCCGGAAAGGAUAAACGCUGAAAGCAUCUAAGCGUGAAACCAGCCUUAAGAUGAGAUCUCUCAUAGAGUAAUCUAGUAAGACACCUUAAAGAAGAUGAGGUUGAUAGGUCGGGAGUGUAAGUACAGUAAUGUAUUCAGCGGACCGAUACUAAUAUGUCGAGGGCUUGACUUA